GCAGCCGCUGCGCUCCCCUCACGGAGCCUCACCCGCCUGCCGAGGGAUGGGCAGGGGCCCAGCCCAGCCAUCAAAGCUCCUGCGCGGGGCAAUGAGGCAGAGGAAGGUUCUUAUCUGCCCGGCCUGCCUCAAGUCAGUCCCAGAGAAGCUCAGAGAUUCUUGUGAGGAGCGGAGCUGAACGGGCUGUGCAGUGCACAGUGGUUCUUCAGAACAGCCUGCAUUAUGAGAAGACAGAAUGAACAGAUUCAUCAAACCUGCUGUAAUGUCUGCUGGGUUUGCAUUUGAAAGCAAACUAUAAGAAUUAUCUUGGUUCAACUUUUAUGAGUAACUUGUGAUGUUUACAGAAUAUUCUUGAAUUGAAAUCCAUCGUGAAUCAACAUUGGGCAGGGGCAUUUCAGAGAUGAGCAUGGACACAAAGUGGAGACAGGGAACAGUGUGGGCAUGGGAAAAAUCUCUUCUGAAGGAAGUCAGGCUUCUUUCCCAAAGUUAGUUUUCUGAAUCACAGCUACAGGCAUCAGCUGAAUGCUGGUUGCAUUCCUUGGGCACAGCAUUCAUAGGCUGUUACAGAAAGCUUGCAUUCUAAUUCCAGCUCUUUUCUUAAUUGUUGGUUGGCACACCACUUCAUCUCAUUUUAUCCAAACAUAAUUCUUUGUAACAGAAUGUGUAAAAUGAAAUUUUGUUUUGGAAAGUAUUUUUCAGAUUCUUUUGUUGAAGAAGUUUCAUUUUGGCUUGAUGAACUGCUGCUUGAUUCAGAAAUGCAGUGUUGCACUGCAGACUUGAGUAUUCAUAUAAUUGGGAAACACUGUGCAGCCAAUUUGCCCAUCAGUGGUUGACUUUUCCCAUCUCUAAUUUAAUAAAAAAUUAUAUUUACUUCCAUUGUGUAAAGCUUUGACAACUAUUAAUGAAAAACACGCCAAAAAUUUGGAAAAAAUCCUAUACAAAUGUGAAAAAUCGGGCCUGUUUCUUAUGAUCUGGGGUUGUAUAGGUACCUGUACAUUCAUAAUUCUCACAAAAAAUAAUAUUCACUCACUAUUUUAUUAAUCAUUCAGAUGAUCUAUUGUUUUCAGUCUCUGUUUUUAUUGUCAUCAUCAUCCAAUAAUU